rnacentral:tRNA from 1 species
GUUUUCUUAGUAUAAUAGUACAGGUGACUUCCAAUUACCUAGUCUUGGUUCAACCCCAGGAGAAAAUA